rnacentral:lncRNA from 1 species
CAUCUCCGUUUCGUAUAUUUUCGUCUAUGUUUAGUCCCACAUUGCCUAUCCUUUGACCCUUAAACCUCUCUUUCACCUAUAAAUAUAGACCCAGAGCCUCCAAAAAUCAUCCGAUUGGGGUUAAAUCAAUAUUUUGGUUUGACUAGAUAAAAAUAUUUUUCUCCUCUCCAGCGCGACUUUUGGAAAUUGUCUCCUUUCUCCAAAGUCAUCUUUUCUCUGUCUUAUAAAGGUAUCUUUCUUUAUACUUCCAUAGUUUAUUAUUUCUAGACUAAUACGAUAGAAUAAUUAGAUUAUCAAUUAGUCUAUGUAUUUAUACAUUAGACCCUAGCCGUAGCUAUUUUUCUUCCGUAAAACAGCUUGACCCUGAUUUUUCAAAUAGCCAUAAUUUUUUACUCGUUCAUCCAAAUUAGAUGAAACCAACGCCUAUAGCUUCGUCUUGUUUUUAUCUAUCUAGUGAACCUGUCACGUCAACUUUUUGAAAUUUUGAAAUUUUGAAAUUUGUAUAGAUUCAUAUUCAAACUUCUUUUGUUCAUAACUUGAGUUUCGUAACUCCGAUUUAGUUGAUUCUUUUUGCAAAUCGAAGCUCUUGACCUAAACUUUCUGAUUAGGCCAAAUUCACAUAAUUUUGGUACUGUUAGAAAUUGUUUUAUGUUGCAAGAGUUAUUUGCUUAGUUUUGAUGUUUUCCGAACUGUCUUCUUCGUUCUUCCCGAUCUUCUGAGUGAUUGCUUAUGUCUGGUUCUAUUGCUUGCUUACGAUAGAUUGACCGGAGUGUGACGAGUAGAACUAUCAAGAGUUUUGAGUGUGAAUUAUCUUCAUCAACAUUGCAGGCAAGUUCACACUUUGAUCAUAUCCCUUUUCAUACCCAGUUUUUAUGAAUUAGUUUCAACCCUCAAACAUUGCAUGAGUAGGAUUGAUAACAUGUGGGUAUUGGGAAGUAGUUGAUGAGGUAGGAACCUAUUGCCCUGCAUUCAAACCUUGGGAGUUACUAUUACGUUAUGCUUAUACUGCUAUGCUAUGCAUAGACGUGGUUUGGGUUUGAGAGUAUUCAUGACAGAUGUGAGAUUGUUAAUUAAUGGUUCAACUUAAGGUGGCAACUUAAAUACACAUCUGGGUGGAUUGAGGCACCUGGGUAUUCCAGCGAUUGCCUAUUUAGGCACCUGGGUAUUCCAGCGAUUGCCUGUUUUCUUUAUGGACCGUCACCCAGGCUCAAAGGGAUCAUGAGAUUAUUCAUACUAAAAACUUCCGUGUGCAGGCACAAGCUACUAUGGGCUCUAGCAUAGUUGAUUAAGUCGUGCGAACUCUUACAGUGGUAGACUAGCAGAUGUAGGGGAAAGUAGGUGUAACGCUCUACCCGAUCGUAAGGUGCUAGCGCUUCUGAAAGACUAUGUCUCGGUCAUCCGUUUCUCAAACACCAUGUAGUGCGAGAAUCCCAACGGAGGAGAUCGAGUCUUGUGGGGAAAAGUGCGCAAACCUCUGCAGAGUGUAUAAACUCAUCAUGAUUAGCCGUGUCCCCGGUUAUGGAUGUCUUGAGUAUCUAGUACUUGGAUUAUCAUGUGAAUCUCAUCAUGUGACUUUAAUUAAUUUUGUUGGGUUUUAAUGAUGAUGCUUAAUUGGGAUUGAGCGGGUGUCUACACUCUCAAUGUUUAACAACCACCAUGAUAGUUAAAUAAAAUUUAUUUCUUUGCAGUAGGGAAAAAUUGGCUUUUCGCAAAAACCUUAACCAUAGAGCUUUUCCACCAGCCAUAUAUGCAUGUAGUGAUAGCCAUAUUUCAUCAUUUCUCUAUGGUGUGAAUUUGCCAGUACAUUCAAUGUACUGACCCUUUGUGACUGCAACAUCUCAUGUUGCAGGAUUUUCUUACGACGAGUAAGUGAUACGUUAGGGUUACGAUUUCAACACUCAACUUUGUCGUUGGUGUUGAUGGGAAUCCACAACCUUGUUACUUCCGCCGUUUGGAUUGAGGUAAUAGUAUUUAUGUUACUUUAUACAUGUGAUUUACCUCUGUUUUAAAUCCUCGAGUACUGUAUGUGUCAGCAUACCGAUCCAGGGAUGACACUUAAGCACAGAGACUUGAUCCAUUCGGGUCGGGUCGCUACAAGAUGGUAUCAGAGCACAUGUUGACUGUAGGACGUGACCCUAAAAAUUGGCAAGCCCAUAGGAAAGAUUUUCUCUACAACUUCAUUUUCAAAAGAUCUUUUACCUCUCUUCUCUUAUGAGCUUAUUCAAAUAUUCCCUUUUAGUGAGACCAUACCCCUUUUCCCUUUUGACCACGAAGAUUCGACUGAUGAGACCACUCCAAGAAGUACAAGAUAUCGAACAAGUAAGAUCAUUUCGGAAUGAAGAGGAUUUUAUCGUGCAUUAUAAUAAUGGAAACUACAACGGGUGAAGACUUCGAAGACUAGGAGAAUUUGAAGGCCAUGUAGAAUUUUCCAAAUUUGUAUGACCUAGGAAGGCACCCCUUAUGGAACUUGGCAGACUAUUGAAGCUGUCAAUACCCGAGAUCAAGGUGUAUCGGAGAAAGACCGAAACAUGGAGCAUGAGAACUCAAAGUUUUGUCAAGAAAACCCUAAGGCAGGAGAUAUCAACUAUGGAAGACAGCUCAUGGCAAUGACAAGGGAAGAAACACGGUUAUCCGUGAUGUCAUCGCCACUGAUACUAUGGUCACCGAGCUGAGCUAAGCUUGCAUUUCUUCGGAAGCAUUGGAUGGUAGAAGGCUGAUGGAGCACCUAUCAGCAAAAGAUGAAGUUUUAUCCUUAGCCGGUGUAUCACCAGGAUCUGGAGUAGUACAUUAAGAAUUCUAAGAUGGAGCUCUAGGAAGCCAUAUUUGACAAGGAAGCAUUCAUGAAGAACUUAGGACCUAGAAGCUGAAAGUAGCCAAGUUGGAGGAGCAAAACCUCGAGAUACUGGAGAUUCGUCAGGAACUGAAGGACAGUAGAACAUGGUUCAUGCCAAGGAUAAUCAAACCCAGAAGUUUGGGAUGCAAUUCCAGAAUAAUAAAGGACGUCAUGAGAGACUUCGCAUCAACAUAGAUGAUCUAGUAAAAGAACUUGAGAAGACAAGCAUGAUCGGAAGAAGCCAUUGGAAGCACGAACAAGACUUGAAGAGUUUGGCGACGUUGAAGAUUUAUUGACCAUUAGAAGACCAAACCCCUGUUAUACACUUACGUUAGAUGCGACGAUUGUGAGCUGUCAUUUGUUUGAUGUUUUUCGACAGCCACAAUAAAAAUCUGUCUUUUCAAAACUAUUUUUUGUAUUGUGUGCAUCUCGCUCUAUCUCUCUUGUCCCACCCCAAAACCCAUGUACCCAAUAGAGGAUGAAUGGAGUUGAGCUUGUAAUUUUCUGGACCAAUGAGUCAAUUGGAUACGGACCGAUGGAUUCAGAACAUGGAGGAUCACAUGGAGAAUAACCCUAUAGUUGGAAAUGAUAUGACCCCAAAUGCUCUUUAGUGUUUUGAAAGAGGUGCUGCUACUUGGUAGAGGAUGUACCAAACCAUGAAUGGAUGGCAAGGAGCAACCACUUGGAAAGAAUUUAAGUUGACUCUGCCAAAGUCUCGGCUUGUGUCCCAGAAGUUGAAGCCUUAUGGAAAGGAUAUGAAGAAACCUUGUGCAUGCAAGAUUUGUGGAGAAAUAGGACACACCCAUAAAGAACACAAGGAUGAAUGCCCUAAUCGUGAAGGAAGUCACCCAGUUGAAGAAUGCCCAACUAGGCAGAUUACUUGUUUCUUGUGUGAAGGGACUACCCACUAUCCUACUCAGUGUCACAUUUACCCCAUGGUACGAAGAACCGUACAACAGAAGAAAGAAGUAAAGAAAGGAGUCCUUAUGGAAAUUUUAGAAGAACCCGUGAUGAACGAAGAUGUGGAGGACACACCUAAAGAAGACCUGAGUAAACCCUGCACUAAGUCUUGCUAUUCAUGUGGAGAAGAAGGACACAUCUCCCAAAAUUGUUUGAAUGGGGAUCUAGUAGAAUUCCCGACAGAGGAAGUAGAAUAUGACCCACAGGAAAUAGAAGCCCUGAUUGGAAUGGAAAAGUCCAGGAAGAGAAACCGAUUGGAGCCCAGGAGGGACCUGAGUCAUAUCACCUGUUACAGGUGCAAGGAGUCAGGGCACUACGUCAACAGUUGCCCAAAAAGGAAACCUCGAUACUUGUCAGAAGUAAUAUGUUUUAGUUGUAAUGGAGCAGGGCACUUUGCCAGAGAAUGCCCUAAGGAGAAGGAGACUUGUGAUAAUUAGUGGUGUCUGUGAGAAGUAUAGUAGUAGUAGUAGUAGUACUGAGAGCAUUUUUUUCUUUGAGGUGUUGAGUUGAGACAUGUAAUGGAAAAGCGAGAGAUUGUAAUCAAUUGAGAGUGAAUAAAGUUAGCAUCGUUGGUACUGAUAUGGAUUUUAUGAGUUGUUACUCUAUGAAGAAGGAUUUUGACCAUUUUUUGGAUAUGAUAAAUAUGGUCUAUGGAAGAUUUGUGCAUUUUUAGGGUGGUAGUACCCUGUAAGAACCCUUGACCCCUGGAAAAGAUAAGGAUACUCCACUGAGUGGAUUUCAGACAAAAUGAAUACGAGUUUUGUCUCGAUAUGUGUGAUACCCCAAGAGUAUGUGGGACGAAGUUGGAGACCUUCAGUUGUUUGGACCAAAUGUGAUCAAGGAGUCAGAAGAGAAUGUUAAGUUGAUUCGAGAUAGACUGAAGGUAGCUCAGUCUAGGCAGAGGAGAUAUGCGGACUCAAAAACUCAAGGAGGUAGUCUAUGAGAUUGGAGACAGAGCAUGUCUUCGUACCCUCCACGAGGAGUUAAACGAUUUGUAGUUAAGGGAAAGUUAGCCCUGAGAUUUGUAAGACCAUACCGAGUUUUGGAGCGUAUGGGAGAAGUGGCCAACAAGUUGGAGUCACCCGAAGGACUGUCAGGAGUUCAUGAUGUGUUUUACGUUUCCCAGUUGAAGAAGUGCCAUGUAGAGAUGGCCAAUAUUCCCCUGUAAGGAUGCUUGACCCUGGAAAGGAUAAUGGUGUCCCACGAAGUGGAAUAUGGACUUCAUAAUUAUAAGUUUUAUCUCGGUAUGUGGGAUAUCCCAUGAGGAUGAAGAGAUGAAUUACUAUUGGAUAUAAAGUAGGUAUGAUGUUGGAAAUAUGGAUCAAUGGAAAUUCCACGAUGAGUCUGAGUAAUCAUGCCCUAGUUUGGUGCCAAUAGAAGGAAGGGAGACAAUACAAAUGGAUGGAUUUUUAGUAUGCUAGGAAGCUGGAAGUUGGAUGUUGGAUUAGAGAUCCGUUGCCCCGGUGAUGAGUUCAAGGUUUGCAAGUGAUGAGACGGGUCAUAACCCACAGGCCCCAGGACCUGCCAAGAAGCAAGCACAUUCUUGCUGAAGGAAAAACCUUGGAAGAAGAAGUUACGUUUAACGACAGAUGAUCUUAUAGGAGUUUACGCAAAACCUGAGAGUUGUGAAGGAACGAUAGAUGUUUAUUUGGGUUGCAGAAUCCAUGGAUUUAUCCGAACUUGGUUCGUUGACAAGAGAAAUUCUGCAAUGCUUGUGAGGAUGACCGAGUGUUAGAAUGCGAGAUUCACUAAACCGUAUACAGGGUAAUGAUUUGGGUGUGGGAUGGAUUGAUCACCAUACCGACUUACUCUUAUUAUUCGACUUGCUAUAUGGGAUGGUAAAUCUGAGAGACUUACCUAUAGUAGAGAGAUGACGAUCAAAAACCUUGUUUAAACCUUAGAAUGGUAUAGCAAUUUUUCCCUUGUACAAGGCAGCUUUUGCCAAUCGUAGGUUAUACGGUGAGGAUCAACCCAGACCCAUUUCCUGCAGGAGAAACCAUAAAUGGAUGACCGCCAUGAGAUGUCGAUAGUUGUUUAGUUUUUGUGCCAGACCUGUCAGCUAAGAAGACCCAGUCAUGGAAGAACCUUACCAAGAUGAAAUGACAGAAGAAUUGAGGAAAAGGUUAUGCCACUACCGAAAUAGCCCAGAUAAGGAAUUAUCCUGAAGAUCUGAGAAGACCAGCCCUAUCAAGAAUAAGGAUGGAGUAUAUGAGUAUUGAUGGGACCGUAAUGAUGUUUCUAAGGGUGGUAGCACCCCAGACCCCUGGAAAUGAUCGAUGGAUUUUGAGAAGACCCCAACCCUAACCUAUUUCUUUCUAGCCUCUCCGAAUCUCGAGGACGAGAUUCAUUUUAAGGGUGGUAGGUUUGUAACAUCCCAAAAUUCUAAAUUUUGGAAUGUUAUAAUAAAUAGAUAGAUUGAUUGAUUGUUUGAUUGUUGUGUGAUUGAUUGAGUGAAAUUCGAAACUUUUUGAAAGUUAAAUGAGAGGGAAUAAAAGGACUUUCCCAAACUUUCACCUUUUCCAUUUUGAUCUCCGUGAAUUCAAAUUCUUUUCAAAUACAAAACCCACGAGAGAAGAUGACAUGACUUCUUCCAUUUAAAUAAAUGAAAAGGGUUUUGAAAAUAUUUGAAUUUCAUUUGGAAAUAUUUUUAAUUGAAAAACUUCAAGCAACUCAAUGAUUUUCAUGAGAGAAGAUAAAAUGACUUCUUCAAAUUAUAUGAAAUAUGAGUCGGGAGUUUAAAAGGAUCAAAAAUUAAAAUCCUUUUGAAAUUAUUUUCAAUUUGGAGUUAUUUGGGUUUUAUUAAAAUUAUUUUUCUCCAAAAAUAAAAUAUACGUAAAAUAGGUUAACAUGAUUCCCUACAUCAGAAAUUUGGAGAUAAAUAAAUUUGAAUUAAUUUUGGUAUUUUUAAAAUGAUUUUUAUUGUAUUUUAUUAGACCAGUAGCACUCUUUGAAUUAUCUGAAUUUGUGUGAAUUUUAUUUAAUGCUAAGAAAAUGUUCAGCUUCUAGAAAAUCUUUUUCUGAAAAUUUUAAUAUAUAAUAUGCCUAUAUAAAGUUUUAGUUUUAUUUCCGUUUUUCAGUUUAUCGCUUUUUGUUUUAAAAAAACAAAUAACAAAAACUGCGCGCGCGCCUGAAACUAACUGUCGCCCACGUGCGCAUCAUAGUACCAGCGGGCGCCCCAUCUUUUCCUUUUCUUUAUCCUAUAUGGGCCAGGCCGAGCCGGCCAUAUUCCUUCCUCAUAUUUUUUUCUACAGUUUUUCUUUUCUUUUCUAUUGCUCAAAAAAAAAUUACUGUGUGCGCGGCCGGCCGAACCGUGCCUUUUGGCCCAUGGCGCACCUCCCAUCUCUGUUUUGUAUAUUUUCGUCUACGUUUAGUCCCACAUUACCUAGCCUUUGACCCUUAAACCUCUUUUUCACCUAUAAAUAUAGACCCAGAGCCUCCAAAAAUCAUCCGAUUCGGGUUAAAUCAAUAUUUUGGUUUGACUAGAUAAAAAUAUUUUUCUCCUCUCCGGCGCGACUUUUGGAAAUUGUCUCCUUUCUCCAAAGUCAUCUUUUCUCCGCCUUAUAAAAGUAUCUUUCUUUAUACUU